rnacentral:tmRNA from 1 species
GGGGGCGUAAAGGUUUCGACGGGGAUCGUGCGUCAUGGUAAGCGAGUAGCGGGGCGGCGCCGCUAUAAAAGCCGCAACCUUAAAAGUAAACGACAACAAAACUGUUGCGUUAGCGGCCUAAUUUAGGCUGCUCGUCUCUACCCGCAGCACCGCGGGCGGGAUAGAGGCGUCGAUGAGCGGUGAACGUGAACGGGGGAGGGCCGCAGCCCCCGUCAUGACCAAGCGGCUACCGCAGCCGGAAGCCUGCCUGUCGGCGUCCGGUGAGGGGAAUCCUAAACGAUAGGCUGCACUCGGAGAAAGCCAUGGUUAGCGGUUUUCGGACAGGGGUUCGACUCCCCUCGCCUCCACCA